CUUGGAAGGUGGGGACCCGCGACCCUCCGCAGGCUCCGCAGCCGGGCCGAGCGAGCGGGCGAGCGGGCGGGGGCCACCGAGCGCGGACCUCCCGCGCACCUCCCACGCGCCUAGAGCGGCAGCGGCGGACCGCGGGGCGGCGCAUUUCCGGCCUCGCGUCUCUGCUCGUGCACCGCUGGGCCUCGGAGCCGGCCUGUGCCUCCCUCGCCUCCGGCGGGCCUCGGAGAGAGGGUUGAAAGAUGUCUAUGGAUGUGACCUUUCUUGGGACAGGAGCAGCAUACCCAUCCCCAACCCGGGGUGCCUCCGCUGUGGUUCUUCGGUGUGAGGGCGAGUGCUGGCUCUUUGACUGUGGGGAGGGAACACAGACUCAGCUUAUGAAAAGCCAACUUAAAGCAGGGAGAAUUACCAAGAUCUUCAUCACACAUCUUCAUGGGGACCACUUCUUCGGCCUCCCGGGCCUCCUCUGCACGAUCAGCCUGCAGAGCGGCUCUGUGGUCACACGGCAGCCUAUUGAGAUCUACGGCCCUGUAGGGCUUCGGGACUUCAUCUGGAGAACCAUGGAGCUCUCCCACACAGAGCUGGUUUUUCCUUAUGUGGUCCAUGAGAUAGUGCCUACAGCUGACCAGUGUCCUGUGGAGGAACUAAAAGGAUUUUCACAUGUGAACGAAGCAGACGGCCCUCCCAAAGGACAGGGACGAACUAUCUUGUUAAACACAGAAGAAAACUCCUACUGUCUGGUUGAUGAUGAGCAGUUUGUUGUAAAAGCAUUUCGCCUCUUUCACAGAAUUCCAUCCUUUGGCUUUUCAGUUGUGGAAAAGAAACGUGCAGGUAAACUCAAUGCACAGAAGCUGAAAGACCUCGGUGUGCCCCCAGGUCCUGCCUAUGGGAAGCUAAAAAAUGGAAUUUCAGUAGUUUUGGAUAAUGGAGUUACAAUUUCUCCCCAAGAUGUCUUAAAAAAGCCUAUGGUUGGAAGAAAAGUCUGCAUAUUGGGUGACUGUUGCGGAGUUGUGGGUGAUGGAGGCGUGAAGCUGUGCUUUGAAGCAGACCUGUUGAUCCACGAGGCAACUCUGGAUGAUUCUCAGAUGGACAAAGCAAAAGAGCACGGCCACAGCACACCCCAGAUGGCAGCGACAUUCGCGAAGCUGUGCCGUGCGAAGAGACUGGUCCUGACUCACUUCAGCCAGCGGUACAAACCGAUUGCUUUGGCUAGAGAAGGAGAGACAGAUGGCAUUGCAGAGCUGAAAAGGCAAGCUGAGUCAGUGUUAGAUCUCCAAGAAGUGACGCUGGCGGAAGACUUUAUGGUGAUUGGCAUUCCCAUCAAGAAAUGAGAGCGGUGCUCCAGAAGGCAGACAUGGACGUGCUGUGGCUGGUUCCCAGACCUGCACUGCAGGCUUUUAUUGUUGGUCCACAUGGUCCUGGGUUGUCGCAGUGACUGAGGAAGAUGGUGGCUCCACAGCAGUUCAGUCAGUGGGGGUCAGGAAUGCCGUGUGUUAUUCACAGUUCUGCAUAGCAAUUGCCUUGAUAUUCUAGGUCUGUUUGGAGACACGAAACUUUACUCCCAAUGUGAAUACACUUUGCCAAAAUUGGUGAUGUAAUGGAUUGAUUUAAUAGACAGGCUGGAUCUUCCAAUAGAUGGUAAAGGAUGAGUAUGUUGAAUGAAAAUGCCACAUCAAGUAUUAUUUGGAAAAAAUGAGUCAUCGAGUGAAGCUUGUAACUGUGGGGAGAAGUAUCCACAAAUCCCCCACCUGAGGAGAGGAUCUCCUUCCGGGCCAGCGGCCCUGGAGCUGGGCUGUGAGCUGAAUGUGCAGGUGGAUCCAUGGACGAAGUCAGGAGUCAGAGUGGACCCUCUGCUGCAUCACUGAGCUGCCUAGGUGACUCUGGAAGACACGAGUGCUGGACUAGCCUCGGAGAAAAAGGCUGCUUUUUUCUAAGUGCUUAAAUUGAGGGUAUAUAUAUAGAGAGAUAUUUUAUAGAUUCUUAUACAUAUGUUUGCGUAUGUGCAUAGUUUAUUCAUGCAUAUUUUUACGUGAAGGCUGGUCUUCCUCCACUAUUUUCUUAAAUAAAGAUAUUUUAUUGGACAAACAAAAACUAGGAGUUUAUUAUCAAAAAAUCCUCUGUAAGAAACUCUGAGGCAUUAUUUUUGGCAGAAUAAAAAUAAUGAAAGCCAUAAAGGGGCAAGUAGCUGAGUGAUGUAGAGAAACACUGACUGUAGGACUUCAAAAUAAAGCGCUGGCUAACGACAAGUCUUUAACUACUCUUCUCAUGAGCAUUUCCUGUAGCAUCAAGUGGUCUCUGAAAGUAUGAGCUUAGUGAUUUUAUUUCAUUUUAGAGUUGUGUCUUGGAGCACUGAGAUUGUUUUCUGUUAGUAGAAAUAAAGCUGACACGGGGUCUUUAUGUAUCUCCAAGUCAUUCCUUCUUUCUAGUUGAUCUCUCUGUUGGGUAUGGUGGCACAAGCCUGUUUCAUUUGCAUUUGUGAGGGUAAGGCAGGAGAAUUCAAAAUCCAGGAGAGCCUGGCUUACAUAGUAAGACUUUAAUCUAAAAAAAAUUAAAAAAGAAAGAAAGAAAAGGGACAGAAAUACAUCUGACUUAUAACAUAUAUUUUAAUAUUCAUUCAUGUUCCUAAGCCCACACAGGAAUGGCCUGUUUUAUUAGUCUAUUGAAAAUACAACUUCAUCAAUUUAAAAACCCUCUCUCAAGUCCCACCCUCUUCCUGUCUUCUCUCUCCUUUUUUAAUGAGUCUCACUGUGUCCUCCUGCUUGAGAGCUGGCGUUAUUAAGUAUGCAUUUGUAAUCUGACCAUAAUGUUUUGAAUAUUUCUUUACUAAGGUUUGUAAUUUUUAGGCUGCGAGUGUAGCUUGAUGGUUAGAAUACUUGCAUAGAAUGUCUGAGGCACUGGGUUUGAUUCUGUAGUAUGAAAAGGAAAGAAGAUUUUUGCCUCCCAGUGCAAAUACCGUUAUUAUGCCUUUAAGUUAAUACAUAUAAUUCAACUCUUAUUUCUAUGCAUAUUCUGAUGCCAGCUUGAAAUUUUGCUACUUUUCCCUUUAUUAAUGAAAUAUAAAUCCUUCUUCAGUGUGUUUGUCACAGAUAGACAGAGGUGUAUGUUCAUAGUGAAGUGUACUAGAUCUGUCACUGGCAGAUUUGAGGGCUGAUGGACUAAGGAAGUAAUCAGUGGGAGCAUUGCCACCCCAUCUUUCUCCUUUUUUUUUUCCUUUGAGAUGGGGCCUUAUGUAGCCCAGGCUAACCUUGAACUUGCUAUGUAGCCAAGGAUGACCUCGAGCUUCUGAUGUUUCUGCUUCCACCUUCCAGAAUGCAGGGGUAACAGUCAGAUGCCAUCAUACCAGGCUUGUGUGGUACUGGGGAUCAAACCCAGGACUUUGUGUCUGCAAAGUAAAUACCCUACCAACUGAGCUACAUCCUAAAGCCCAAAUACAUGGAGUUUUUAUUUAUUUUGGUUUUUUUAGGGGAAUAUUAAAAGGAAACACUGGUUGUGACUUUAUUCUCUCUUGACAGAGAAGAGCUAAGUUUAAGGAAGUGCUAUGGGUUUAUAGUGUGUGAUUUUUCUUCUCUUCCUUCAGUGUGCAAAAAUGAAAAACAACUAUUUAAGGAUAUCAUGUUUUAAAAAGCAAGAGAAGUGUCUGCAAAUACAGCUUGGGUAGAAAGUGGUUAGCCUGAAUAAGGUAUUGGGUUUGAUUCCUAGUGCCCCCACUUGUCCACCUCCCUGAAGAAAAACAAGGGGAGGGAAUAUAAAUGGUUAAAAGUAUAAGAAUUAUGAAAAUGUGAUAAAUACACUGUUUUGUAUAAUUAGUAUGUGCUAAUAACUUUCUAAGUGGAGAAAGCUGCCGUGGCAGAGGGGCAGGAAGUCUGGGGAGCAAAGACCACUUUUGUUGUUGACUUUUGAGUCACCAGUACGAAGGAUGUUAUGGCUGUUUGUAUGUAUAUAUCCAUUUAGUAUAGCAUUGAAUCACAGCACCCAUAGAGAUAAACCACUUCUCUGAAUUAUUAGCCGUCCCCACACGGGCACUCCAGAGCUGACAGUUCAGCUCCAGUCCUUGUAAUGUUCCUGUUUGUCAUCUGUACUGUAGCUAGAGGAGUGGUUUUUCCCCCAAAAUGUAAAGUUUUGCCAUCUCUCCCUAACGUAAAACUUCGUAGUGGUCUGGUUCACUCAUUUCUCUCUAACUUAAUCUCACUUCUCAGUGCUACUCAAGUUUGCAGCCCCAGCCAUGUGGGCCUCCUCUCCGUCCUCCACCAAGGCUUCUGGUGUUCCAGAGCCUUCCUGUGGCGUGCUUCCUUCACCUGAAAUGUCGUUGCUGACUGACCCCAAAUCAACCUAGAGAACCUGCAGGCCACAGCUCUGCAGCCUCAUGGACUUGGCCUGCCCAGCUCCCGUGAGGUGGUGUGUGUGUUUUUCCCAGCGCCUACCCCAUCUUCCCGCACUUGUCACAGCUUCGCUUCACCUCUGUAUGUGAUGUUUCUCACACCAGCUCUGUAAGCCACACAAGGGCAGAGCUCUGCUUCUGUUCCCCUUUAUGACUGACUAACUCAGUGCCGAGAACAUCAAAGGCACUCAAUAAAUAGUGUUGACUGG